rnacentral:rRNA from 1 species
ACCCCAUGUAUAUCGAGGCAUCUUGAUAUUUAGUUUCGACUACGGGAUGCAUGCGCCAUUAGCUUUGGUAGGAACGGCCUCAAGGCUAAUGUUUAGGACCUGAGGGUGAUCCCACACUGGCUGAGACAGACCAGACCUACGGGACAGCAGUGGAAUAUUGCAAUGGGCAAGCCUGACAGCCAUCGCGUGAAGAGAAGGCGAUGCGUUGAACUUCUUCCAGAGGAAAAACCCCACGUGUCAGCUUGCCGACUCUGGGUAAGCAUCCUAACUCCGCCAGCAGGCGGUAAUGGAGGAUGAGCGUUAUGGAUUUAUGGUUUAAAGUGCGUAGGGAUUAAUGUCAGUGGAAAACCUUGCUUAACUAGACUUG